rnacentral:lncRNA from 13 species
CUGCUCUCAGGCACCACAACUGUGUCCUCUUCUGGGGCUGUGGUGCUGCUCUUUGUCUGUUCUGGGGCACAAGGAUUGUAGAGGUCACCUCGGACUAGAGAGUUGCCCCCAAAAAUAUCCAGGUGUCCCUCUGCCUCAGUCCGAAGUACAGUGUGGGGAGGUCAGAGUGAUUCCCCAACUCUCAGUCUUGUGUGGGUCUCUAUGGAGAGUUUGAAUGUCUCUGAGGGCUCUCACUAACUCACCCUUUCCUGGUCGGAGAGGUUCUCUUGGCUCUGUACGGAGGCCAAACAGGGAGAGGGCAGAGAGGAGCAAAGCUGGGCACCAGCCUAUCUGGGCCCAGUGCAGAGCCAGGACAAUCUCUCCAACAAAGGAAACAUUACUCAAACAGAUCAAGACGCAUGGAAUGGCAGAAACCUUCGGGUCUUCACUAAAGGAGCACACGGUACAGGGAUACAGACACAGGUGUCUCGAAAUGAAGAGAGGUGAGAAAGGGAACAAGACACAGAAUUUGACAAUACCAAUAAUUCGUGUGUAAGGCUGUUUUGUUGAAAGCACAUCCCGGAGCCCGUGGAAACCUGAGGAGGGAAGUAUUAGGUGUGUUUCAUACCUGGCAGCGGACGAUUUCACGACAGGCUGGCUGCAAAGAGGUAUGUGCCAGCAUUUGUUAUCUUGGAGUGUCUUGUCCUGAGUGCUCUUGAUCACUGCUGGUCUGCCGUCUUCCACAGGUCACCAAUCGGUCAUCUCUGAUUAGGAAGACACUGCCAAUAAAUGAGAUGAUUGUCUAGUUUGGUCA